UCCCGUAAACAAGUGCAGCCCUCAGCUCCCAGGAGGGCCCGGGAGCAAAUGUGCACGUCUCUGCCUCUUUCCCGGCAGCUGUUCGCGGAGGCCGCAGCCUGCCAUCCCAGCCGGCCUCCCCAGCCCCCAGCUCCAGCCCCAGGAAGUGGAGCUGCUGAGAACCUCUCCUCCAGUCGCGCCUCCUGCGGAGAGUGUCCUCCGCGAGAGCAUUUCCUGGCCUAAUUAAGCUGGGUAAUGAGUAGCUAAGAGGAGGGGAUAAAAGCCCUAGGCGGCUUAAAGCUGGGACAGUUUAUGACGGGGGCGUCUGCAGCUGGUGACAUUCCUAGGAAAGUUAUUUCUCAUAACCCUGGGAAGCUGCAUGCUGUUUCCUCAGCAGAGUGAGCCCGAAGCUGUCCUGGAGUGGACGGAGAUCUGGCAGCCUGACGCCUGACCCAGAGAGGGCACGCCUGAGCUGCCCACCGCAGCAAGGACAGCCACAUUCUUGGGGGAGGGUCCCUGGAGUUCAGACGUGAGCGGAUCAUACCAAGAAGGAAGAGAGCAGGCCUGGAAGCUUCGAUCUGUGACCCUGCCCACCUUCUGACUGGGUGGGCAGGCCAGGGCAGCCACUCGCUCUGCAUGUGUAAUCCUGGUUAGAAAGAGGGGAAAAGAUCUUGUAAUUUCCCAGGACACAGCCAACUGAAACCUGAUACUCUUGUCAAGGGCGUCCUUUCACUGAGAGGAAUAGAGAGAAAGGGGGAGAGAGAGAAAGAGAAAGAAAGAAGCAGGAAGGGAGAGAGUAUGUGAGAGGCCACUUGGAUCCCAGGACACCAUGAGUACUGUGAGUGUCACCUGGCCAGUCCUUGGCCUGAGCCUGACUCUCGGUAAGUGGCCAGUCCAUCCAAUGGGGAGCGCAGCAGUGGCGGCAGCUUCUAGAGACCUGCCUGCCCUGUCCAGCUCUGCUCACCGGGAGCCUCUGCCCCUUCCCUGGGAGGCUGCGUGCUCCUCCCCCUCCCCUGCCUUUUGUGUAAAGGGGCCAGAUAAUGCUGUUGAGAAAACUGUGCGCAAAGACCUUCAAGCUGGGCCAAUAGGAAGCAGUUCUUUCCUUCUUUCCUUCAGCAGAUAUUCAUUGACUACCAGGAUGAAUGAAAGCGAUGCCACUCUAUGUUCGAAUGUGUGAUCAGAGCGGAAAUGAUUCUAGCCUGACUUGAACUGGGUAGGGUGGUUCAUCUUUGUUCAAUUGCAAGGAAUUGCAGGUGCUCAUUUGACUAAAGCCACAGAAAUUUGGGGAGGCUGCUUUGUGACCAGCGCUGUGUAGGUGCAAUUCUAGAGGACACAGGCAUGUAUGACAAAGUAUCUGUCCUUGAGGGACAGUUUGCCAUCUGGCUGGAGCAACAAGGCUUUCAGCCAAAACAAUUAGUGAACAGUGUACACAGAAGUCCAGUGAAGGGCCAGAAUGUGCAAUGCAGCCAGGGAGUGGCUGGAGGUCAGUCCUGGUGUACUCUGGUGACACAGCCUCACUGUCCUCUGAGUCAGCAGCUCACUGAGGGCCCGCAGUGUCCAGUACUGCCACGAGCAAGACAGACUGUGCUGCUGCCUGGUGUGGCUUACCCCAAGGGUCUGACUUCCUUCUUUUCUGUACAUGUCUGCAUUUUACAGUUCAUACAUUCAUUCAUUCAAACACCAUCUGUAUUCAAUGUAUUCAAAAAAGAUUCAAGGCAGUUUAUAACUAAUGGCACGAGGACCAUAAACCGCAGAUUAAAGGCUGAGGUCCAAGCUGCGAAGGAAGCCUGGGCAAGAAAAUAAUUACACCAGAAAACCUGGAUUCAAGGAAGUGCUGCAACAUUUGAACCUAAAAACUGGCUCUGAGCUUCCUAGUGAUUAGGUUAAAAAGGGAACUAGUGUGUCUAAUAAAAAGAAGGCAUUUUCUUGU